AUAUUCUAUCUUCAAAUUUAAGAUUAUAAUAGUACAUAAAAUUUUUCCCUUAAUUUUUAAUUAUAUUUAUAUCGUUUUUGGAUAUAAGAAAGAAAAAGAACUGUCCAAGGGAGGCCAUUGGGCUAAUGUACAUCAAUCAUGAAAUUAUUCGAAAGGAAUCAUCAGUUAAACAACAAGCGGUCACAACCGGAGAGAAAUGUAGUGUCAGAGAAGGAAAAUCAGCGAUUUAGGGUUGAUUGUGAAGCCCUAAGCCCUAAUCGAUUAUCACACAGGGAUGUCCCAGGACAUUAGGGCUUGUCUAGCUUCAAAUCGAUUCAUGAGAGAGUUCCAUUGGAGCUUUAGCCCUAAUAGGGUUCAUGACCCUGUUCUGCGAAGGAGUUUCUCCAUUGAAGAUCCUUGAAUUUCUUUCGAUCCUUAUGCAGUGGACAUAUGCCGAGAGAGCAAGUUUGAAGUUCAAUUCAAGCAUAUGGGUUAAAAAAACAUAAUUGUGAUGCUUUAUCUCAGAUAUCUGAUACCACUUGGCAUGUUUUGAUAGUCUCUUUCGCCAUCAACGUGGGGUUACUACUACAGAGGUUUACAAAUUCCAAAGAUUAUGGUUCCCAAAGCUGCAGGCAAACGUUCAAAGGAGGACCAAUGUGAUAAAGUCGUCACCGUCAACGAGCCUGAUUUCAGUUGAUGAAGUGAAACCUCAAGAUUUAGGUGCAGUGGCGACCCACAAAGUAUAAAAGAUUCUGGCAGCAAAUGGGGAACAAAACUACAAUUCUUAUAUCUGGAGACCAGCACUUAAAGAUAUUUUUCUAACAUCAAUAACCUUUGCUGGUUUUUGGAACGUAAACUUGCAAGUGCAAUCACUAGAUUUCAUCAAAUAGUAGGAAAAGUCGAAAAUUGACACAUUAUGGUGGGAACCGGUUCCUCGCAACUCUAUCAAACUACACUACUGGCUUUCUCUCCGUUCGAUGCUUUUGAGGCAAUGAGCGCGAUUGCAGCUGCCCCAUACUACUCAUCUUAUCUAGGAAUGACUGGUUUCCUAAAGUCUGGGCUUCACAAAUGGGAUGGUGAUGCACAUACAUUGAAGUUGUGGCAUCCCCAAACAACCCUGAUGGUUUUACAAGGGAACCUGUGGCAAACCGUAGAGAAGGAAGGGUGUUAUAGUCAAACACCACAAUAAAGUAUACUUUUUUUUUUUCCGGAAAUCCCUCGCUGCAUGCAUGUUGGCCUCUUCUUCUUGUUCUUUUUUCUUUUUUAUUUUAUUUUUUCCUUUUUUUUCUUUCUUUUAUUUAUUUAUUUUUUC